CGGGCCAACGAUUUUAGUUGAGCCAAAGGCUUUCAGCAGUUAAUAGCACGAAAUUGUGUCUUCCCCCAGCGGACAAAAAACCCAAAGCAAAUUCAAUCAACAUGAGUGAAGCCCGUAACCUGUUCACCACCUUCGGCAUUCUGGCCAUCCUGCUUUUCUUCCUUUACCUCAUCUAUGCCGUCUUGUAAAAUGAUAGCGGCGAGAAGAAGGUCCUUGGAGCAGGAUAAAGAUGAAUUUACAACCU